rnacentral:rRNA from 1 species
UACGUAGGGGGCAAGCGUUGUCCGGAAUCAUUGGGCGUAAAGAGCGUGUAGGCGGCUAGGUAGGUCCGUUGUGAAAACUCGAGGCUCAACCUCGAGACGUCGAUGGAAACCAUCUAGCUAGAGUCCGGAAGAGGAGAAUGGAAUUCCUGGUGUAGCGGUGAAAUGCGCAGAUAUCAGGAAGAACACCCGUGGCGAAGGCGGUUCUCUGGAACGCAACUGACGCUGAGACGCGAAAGCGUGGGGAGCAAACAGG